rnacentral:rRNA from 1 species
GAUCCUGCUCAGGAUGAACGCUAGCGGCAGGCUUAACACAUGCAAGUCGAGGGGCAGCAUAAUGGAUAGCAAUAUCUAUGGUGGCGACCGGCGCACGGGUGCGUAACGCGUAUGCAACCUACCUUUAACAGGGGGAUAACACUGAGAAAUUGGUACUAAUACCCCAUAAUAUCAUAGAAGGCAUCUUUUAUGGUUGAAAAUUCCGAUGGUUAGAGAUGGGCAUGCGUUGUAUUAG